UACGGGGGGGGCUAGCGUUGUUCGGAAUUACUGGGCGUAAAGGGCGCGUAGGCAGUUCAUUAAGUUGGAUGUGAAAACUCUGGGCUUAACCCAGAGCCUGCAUUCAAAACUGAUGGGCUGGAGUUCUGGAGGGGAUAGCGGAAUUCCUGGUGUAGCGGUGAAAUGCGCAGAUAUCAGGAAGAACACCCGUGGCGAAGGCGGUUCUCUGGGACGGUACUGACGCUGAGACGCGAAAGCGUGGGGAGCGAACAGG
rnacentral:rRNA from 1 species